GCAUGUAUAUAUAAUACAUGUCUCCUAAUUAGAGUCUAAUUCUAAUUCAAUUAGAAUUAUACUCCUAAUUAUAAUCCAUAUAUGCCAAAUUAAAUCUAAAUAAUAUCUAAUCCCAAUUAGAUUAGGAUUUAUCCUCAAUUUAGAUAACUACAAAUCUAAACCAAAUAUAACAAGAUAAAAUAUUAUUAAUUUAAAAGUAUAAUUAUUUUUUAUUCCUCCUAUUCCAAUCUAACUAUUCAAAUACUAUUACCUUAUUUUCUGAAACAACCUAAUUUUCAUCAAAACGAAACCUAUUCUAGUUCUUGCUUACAUUUGAAUUUAUACUCAUCCAUGAAAUAAGCAGAUAAGCAGUUUUUAUUUUUUUUCAAACCAAACGAAACCUAAGUGCUUGGAGCAAUUAGACGUUUUUCAGUUGGACUCGGUGAUAUAAAAAACAAGAAGCUUGGAUUGGCGUGUGUGAAACAAUCGUUGUACUCUAAUGGAUUGUUUGGUUGCAUAUAGUUGUAACUGCACUGCAAUUAUAACUGCAUACAAAUACAAAUUUGAUGUUUGGUUUGAUAUAUUUAACUUUAACUGCUACAGUAGAAUCUGCAGGAGGAGGCCCAAUUGCAGCAGUUCGAACUACGUCCAAAUUGGCCGUAGUUCCAACUGUAGUAGUUCGAAAGAGUAACUUUAAAUAAAAGGUAUGCUUAUCUGCUCAAUUAGUUUUUAAACAAUAUUUUUUAUUAUUAUUUUUUUUUUACGUUGGAGGUAAUCUCAUCAUCAUGUACAUAAAAUGAUAAAAUUUUAAAAAUUAUUUCUCAACUGCAUGCAACCAAACAAAUUAUUUAUACUUGCAAUGCUUUCUACUAAAUGCAACCAAACAUGAUGCAUGUAGUUGUAACUGCUGCAGUUUUAACUACAUGCAUAUCUAAUUACACUGUAUUUAUACUUACAUCUAAGCAAACAGUCCCUAAAAAUUUAAGCACGUCUGGGCCCAUAAUAUGCGCUAAAAUUAAAUAAAAAAAAAAUUAAUAAUAUUAGAAGUGUGACGUAUUUUAAAUUCAAAAUAUUCUGCUAUGAUGCCGUGUACUUUAAACGUGUAAACUAUUAAAUAAUAGUAUUUAU
rnacentral:lncRNA from 1 species